rnacentral:rRNA from 1 species
CCCACUCCCGGCACGGGGAGGUAGUGACGAAAAAUAACGAUACGGGACUCAUCCGAGGCCCCGUAAUCGGAAUGAGUACACUCUAAACCCUUUAACGAGUAUCCAUUGGAGGGCAAGUCUGGUGCCAGCAGCCGCGGUAAUUCCAGCUCCAAUAGCGUAUAUUAAAGUUGUUGCGGUUAAAAAGCUCGUAGUUGGACUUGUGUCCCACGCUGUCGGUUCACCGUUCGUCGGUGUUUAACUGGCAUGCCCGUGCGGACGUCCUGCCGGUGGAUGCGGUCGGCCGUGGGCCUCUGGUCUGCGUGUCGGCGGUCCGAUGCAAUCCUACCGCGGUGCUCUUCACCGAGUGUCGAGGUGGGCCGGCACGUUUACUUUGAACAAAUUAGAGUGCUCAAAGCAGGCAGUGGUUCGCCUGAAUAUUGUGUGCAUGGAAUAAUGGAAUAGGACCUCGGUUCUAUUUUGUUGGUUUUCGGAACCUGAGGUAAUGAUUAAUAGGGACAGACGGGGGCAUUCGUAUUGCGACGUUAGAGGUGAAAUUCUUGGAUCGUCGCAAGACGAACCUAAGCGAAAGCAUUUGCCAUGAGUGUUUUCAUUAAUCAAGAACGAAAGUUAGAGGUUCGAAGGCGAUCAGAUACCGCCCUAGUUCUAACCAUAAACGAUGCCAGCUAGCGAUCCGCCGAAGUUCCUCCGAUGACUCGGCGGGCAGCUUCCGGGAAACCAAAGCUUUUGGGUUCCGGGGGAAGUAUGGUUGCAAAGCUGAAACUUAAAGGAAUUGACGGAAGGGCACCACCAGGAGUGGAGCCUGCGGCUUAAUUUGACUCAACACGGGAAACCUCACCAGGCCCGGACACCGGAAGGAUUGACAGAUUGAUAGCUCUUUCUUGAUUCGGUGGGUGGUGGUGCAUGG